rnacentral:sRNA from 1 species
ACCAAAAUUUAGGUUUCUUGCUUGUGGAGUUUACCGCGUUUCAUACUUAGUUUUCACUAAGCUCGUCUCUGUGGUACUUUACGGACAUCAUCAUAGUCAAAGACCUUAGACUAGUCCAGUCGUGACGUCUAUUAGCGUCCUAAAUCUUAUUUGUUCAAUUUACACAAACACUACUUGCGUUCCAGCAAGUGCAAGCAUGGACUUUCCUCUACUCAUUGAGCAGCAACUGACCGACAGCGGCUAAAAUUAUAAUUUGAG